rnacentral:rRNA from 1 species
GACGAACGCUGGCGGCGUGCCUAAUACAUGCAAGUAGAACGCUGAAGAGAGGAGCUUGCUCUUCUUGGCUGAGUUGCGAACGGGUGAGUAACGCGUAGGUAACCUGCCUUGUAGCGGGGGAUAACUAUUGGAAACGAUAGCUAAUACCGCAUAACAAUGGAUGACACAUGUCAUUUAUUUGAAAGGGGCAAUUGCUCCACUACAAGAUGGACCUGCGUUGUAUUAGCUAGUAGGUGAGGUAAUGGCUCACCUAGGCGACGAUACAUAGCCGACCUGAGAGGGUGAUCGGCCACACUGGGACUGAGACACGGCCCAGACUCCUACGGGAGGCAGCAGUAGGGAAUCUUCGGCAAGAGGGGCAACCCUGACCGAGCAACGCCGCGUGAGUGAAGAAGGUUGUCGGAUCGUAAAGCUCUGUUGUAAGUCAAGAACGGGUGUGAGAGUGGAAAGUUCACACUGUGACGGUAGCUUACCAGAAAGGGACGGCUAACUACGUG